rnacentral:rRNA from 1 species
AGCAGUCGCCGCGGGAAUACGGAGGGGGCUAGCGUUGUUCGGAAUUACUGGGCGUAAAGCGCACGUAGGCGGCUUGGUAAGUUAGAGGUGAAAGCCCGGAGCUCAACUCCGGAAUUGCCUUUAAGACUGCCGAGCUAGUAGGUGAGAGAGGUAAGUGGAAUUCCGAGUGUAGAGGUGAAAUUCGUAGAUAUUCGGAAGAACACCAGUGGCGAAGGCGGCUUACUGGCUCAUUCUAGACGCUGAGGUGCGAAAGCGUGGGGAGCAAACAGGAUUAGAGACCCCAGUAGUCCCUGUCUCUUAUAC